rnacentral:rRNA from 1 species
GAUGAACGCUAGCGGCAGGCCUAAUACAUGCAAGUCGGACGGGAUUCAGGAGCUUGCUUCUGAUGAGAGUGGCGCACGGGUGCGUAACACGUAUGUAACCUACCUUUAUCAGGGGGAUAGCCUCUCGAAAGAGAGAUUAAGCCCGCAUAAAAUCACAGCACAGCAUUGUGUAAUGAUCAAAUAUUUAUAGGAUAAAGAUGGGCAUGCGGAACAUUAGCUAGAUGGCGGGGUAACGGCCCACCAUGGCGACGAUGUUUAGGGGAUCUGAGAGGAUGGCCCCCCACACUGGUACUGAGACACGGACCAGACUCCUACGGGAGGCAGCAGUAAGGAAUAUUGGUCAAUGGGCGGAAGCCUGAACCAGCCAUGCCGCGUGCAGGAAGACGGCCCUACGGGUUGUAAACUGCUUUUAUACGGGAAUAAACCUAGAUACGUGUAUCUGGCUGAAUGUACUGUAAGAAUAAGGAUCGGCUAACUCCGUG